GUUUUAUUCACCAAUGGUCACAUUCGAUUUGAUUCUUAAUUUGAAGAAGGGUGGUCGCAGGGCAUUGAGGAUAUGGUACUCUUGCACUAUAUUUCCCCUACUUUGGGGCAUGCUGUGACGACAACUGCACAUGAAUUGGCCUUUCUGCUGAGGUAUCUAUUUGCUGUUGGACUAAAUAUAAGAGAACGGGGCGCAACUAUGGAAGAUAUUCUAUUCGAUCUCUCUUUUUCUGAGUCGAUGUUAGAGAAUGGGUCCUAGGAAUGACAAUAUUGUAAGGUUGCACCAAAACUGUGAAUGAGUUUUACCCCUCCGAGCUUGCUUUAGAAUUAAUUGAGGUGGGUUUAUUUUCUUAAACAACAGCUUUAAUAUAAUCUGAAUCUUCAGAGAGAGAAUUGCAGAGCAAUAUUUCUUUCAA